AGGAGUAGUAGAAGAGAGAGAAGGGUAGAGGAGGGAGUGGUCAUUUUCAAAGACCUACCCCAUCUUUAUAACAUGUCCAAUUCUUAGCUUUCAUGUGGUUUCUCUCUUUCUUUCUCUUCACUAACAUCUCUUCGUUUCAUUUCUCUUCAACUAUAUCUUUUUCUUCAUUUUAGUGAGAGAAACUUACUCUUCUCUCUUUUUCACUCCACUGCCCCAGCUUCACCCUUCCCUCGUCUAAAAUCGCACUUGUUUUUCUUAUUCAGUGUUCAUCAUGGUCAGAAAGAAGAGAACUGAGGGACCUAGUGGGGGUGAAAGCUCUGAUACCCAACGCCCAGCUGAAAGAAGUGCUCCACCCCAACAACAAGCUGCUGCUGCAGGAGGGGCUGGAUCCCAGGGAGGUAGAGGUUGGAGUUCUCAAGGAGGACGCGCAGGUUAUGGUGGCGGCCGAGGUCGUGGGAUGCCCCAACAGCAAUAUGGUGCCCAACCUGAAUAUCAAGGUAGGGGAAGGGGAGGGCCUUCUCAACAAGGAGGACGAGGAGGAUAUGGUGGUGGUCGAGGUGGUGGUGGUGUGGGCAGUGGACGUGGCGUAGGUCCUUCAUACGGUGGUCCAUCCAGGCCACCGGCACCCGAGCUGCACCAAGCAACCUCAGUUCCAUAUCAGGCUGGGGUGACUCCUCAGGCCAUGUCAUCUGAGGCAAGUUCUUCCCAGAAGCUGGAAAUUUCAGAAUUGGAACAGCAAACGGGGCAGAUGUCAAUUCAUUCUGAAACUAAUCCUGCUCCUCCUCCCUCGAGUAAAUCAUCAAUGAGGUUUCCUCUUCGACCAGGAAAGGGUAGCUAUGGCACCAGAUGUAUUGUUAAGGCCAAUCAUUUCUUUGCUGAGCUACCUAAUAAAGAUCUGCAUCAGUAUGAUGUAACAAUUACUCCUGAAGUGCCAUCGAGAGGUGUGAACCGUGCUGUUAUGGAGCAGUUGGUGAGGCUGUACCGAGAAUCUCACCUGGGUAAGAGACUUCCUGCUUAUGAUGGGCGCAAGAGCCUCUAUACUGCUGGUCCACUUCCCUUUAUAUCGAAGGAGUUUAGAAUCACCCUCAUUGAUGAUGAUGAAGGAGCAGGAGGACAGAGGAGGGACAGAGAGUUCAAAGUGGUGAUAAAAUUUGCUGCACGAGCAGACCUUCACCAUUUAGGGCUCUUUUUACAGGGAAGACAAACUGAUGCUCCUCAGGAAGCCCUGCAAGUCCUUGACAUUGUUCUGCGGGAACUUCCUACUACCAGGUAUUGUCCUGUAGGGAGAUCAUUUUAUUCACCUGAUCUGGGUAGAAGACAGCCUUUAGGUGAGGGAUUGGAAAGCUGGCGUGGUUUCUAUCAAAGUAUUCGUCCCACUCAGAUGGGACUAUCAUUGAACAUUGACAUGUCCUCCACUGCAUUUAUUGAGCCAUUGCCAGUAAUUGACUUUGUAACUCAAUUGCUGAAUAGAGAUGUAUCCUCCCGACCCCUGUCUGAUGCUGACCGGGUGAAGAUAAAGAAAGCGCUCCGUGGUAUCAAAGUUGAAGUAACACAUCGUGGAAAUAUGAGAAGAAAAUACCGAAUCUCUGGCCUGACUUCACAGGCAACUAGAGAAUUGACAUUCCCUGUAGAUGAAAGGGGGACGAUGAAAUCUGUUGUGGAGUAUUUCUAUGAUACAUAUGGUUUUGUUAUUCAACACACUCAGUGGCCCUGUCUGCAAGUAGGCAAUACACAGAGGCCAAACUAUUUACCAAUGGAGGUUUGCAAGAUUGUAGAGGGUCAAAGAUACUCAAAGAGGUUGAAUGAGAGACAGAUUACUGCUCUGCUAAAAGUCACAUGCCAGCGUCCUGUUGAGAGGGAGCGUGACAUCAUGCAGACAGUACAUCACAAUGCCUACCAUGAGGAUCCUUAUGCCAAAGAAUUUGGAAUCAAAAUUAGUGAGAAGCUUGCUCAAGUUGAAGCUCGCAUCCUUCCUGCACCUUGGCUCAAAUAUCAUGAUACGGGUAGAGAAAAAGAUUGUCUUCCUCAAGUUGGGCAAUGGAAUAUGAUGAACAAGAAAAUGGUCAAUGGUGGGACAGUCAACAACUGGUUCUGCAUAAAUUUUUCAAGGAAUGUUCAAGAUAGUGUUGCCCGGGGUUUUUGUUAUGAACUUGCUCAGAUGUGUUACAUUUCUGGCAUGGCAUUUAAUCCAGAGCCAGUAGUUCCCCCACUUAGUGCACGCCCUGAUCAAGUGGAAAAGGUUCUAAAAACUCGAUAUCAUGAUGCCAAGAAUAAACUGCAGGGAAGGGAGCUUGAUUUGCUUAUUGUUAUUUUGCCUGAUAAUAAUGGCUCUCUUUAUGGUGACCUCAAACGAAUAUGCGAGACAGACCUUGGGCUUGUUUCACAGUGUUGCUUAACUAAGCAUGUUUUUAAAAUGAGCAAGCAGUACCUUGCAAAUGUUGCUUUGAAAAUUAAUGUUAAGGUUGGAGGUAGGAAUACUGUACUUGUCGAUGCAAUCUCACGACGCAUUCCCUUAGUCAGCGACAGGCCCACAAUUAUUUUUGGAGCUGAUGUGACUCAUCCGCAUCCUGGAGAGGAUUCAAGCCCAUCAAUUGCAGCAGUUGUGGCUUCUCAAGAUUGGCCCGAGAUUACAAAGUAUGCUGGUUUGGUUUGUGCCCAAGCACAUAGACAGGAACUCAUUCAAGAUCUUUUCAAACAAUGGCAGGAUCCCGUCAGAGGAACAUUAACUGGCGGAAUGAUCAAGUACUCUCUUUCCCUCCUCUCAUAUGGAACUUCUUAUAUCUUUCCGGCGGGCUACAGGACAGAAGCCACAGCGCAUCAUAUUUUACAGGGAUGGUGUGAGUGAGGGGCAGUUUUAUCAAGUUUUAUUGUUUGAGCUUGAUGCUAUUCGAAAGGCUUGUGCAUCCCUUGAACCCAACUAUCAGCCACCUGUAACUUUUGUGGUGGUUCAAAAGCGUCAUCACACAAGGCUCUUUGCUAGCAACCAUCAUGAUAAGAGUUCUGUUGACCGGAGUGGCAAUAUAUUACCCGGCACGGUUGUAGACUCCAAAAUUUGCCAUCCAACCGAAUUUGACUUUUAUCUCUGUAGCCAUGCUGGAAUACAGGGUACAAGCCGUCCUGCUCAUUACCAUGUCUUGUGGGACGAGAACAAUUUUACUGCUGAUGCUUUGCAAACCCUAACCAACAACCUUUGCUACACUUAUGCUAGAUGCACCCGUUCUGUUUCAAUCGUGCCCCCUGCAUAUUAUGCCCAUUUGGCUGCAUUUCGGGCAAGGUUUUACAUGGAACCCGAGACCUCAGAUAGUGGGUCUAUGACAAGCGGCGCUGUUGCUGGCCGCGGAAUGGGUGGUGGUGGUGCAGGACGAAGCACUCGAGCCCCUGGUGCUAGUGCUGCUGUGAGGCCAUUACCUGCUCUUAAGGAGAAUGUCAAGAGGGUUAUGUUCUAUUGCUAAUCUAAGAUCAAUGAAUGUUGUUAUUAUUGAAGCACUAUCUCAAGUUAUUUUGUUGUGGUUAUUGCUUUGAAAGCAUCUUAGGAUAUUGCUCCAGUGUGUUGUCUUACAUGCUCUUGUUUGUCUCAAAAUAGCUGUCAUUGGGGGUUUGGCUUUGAUCCAAACUAUGUUAACAUUGCAAGUCAUUUAUGACUUUGUUGUCACCGUAAAGAAAUCUAUAAUUUAGAUGAGUAAUGGAAUGGAGAAGUUGAAAUUAAGUUCUUAAUCUUUCAAAAUCUUUCUGGAUUAAUUGGGAAUUUGGACAUGGAUAAUGUUGUAAUUUCAGUUCCGGUUUUUAUUGUAGUUGUGUUUACACAAUCGUUUUAAUUAUGUUAGAAAUUUGGAGCUUUAU